rnacentral:rRNA from 1 species
CAAUAGCGUAUAUUAAAGUUGUUGCAGUUAAAAAGCUCGUAGCUGGAUUUCUGGUGGGAGCGAUCGGUCUGGCGCUUAGCGCGAGUACUUGCAUCGUCUCCGGCCAUCCUUGGGGAGAGUCUGUCUGGCAUUAGGUUGUCGGGCAGAGGAUCUUCAUCGUUUACUGUGAAAAAAUUAGAGUGUUCAAAGCAGGCUUAUGCCGUUGAAUAUAUUAGCAUGGAAUAAUAAGAUAGGACUUUGGUACUAUUUUGUUGGUUUGCGCACCAAAGUAAUGAUUAAUAGGGACAGUUGGGGGUAUUCGUAUUCCGUUGUCAGAGGUGAAAUUCUUGGAUUUACGGAAGACGAACUACUGCGAAAGCAUUUACCAAGGAUGUUUUCAUUAA